GACGGAGGGGGCUAGCGUUGCUCGGAAUCACUGGGCGUAAAGGGUGCGUAGGCGGGUCUUUAAGUCAGGGGUGAAAUCCUGGAGCUCAACUCCAGAACUGCCUUUGAUACUGAAGAUCUUGAGUUCGGGAGAGGUGAGUGGAACUGCGAGUGUAGAGGUGAAAUUCGUAGAUAUUCGCAAGAACACCAGUGGCGAAGGCGGCUCACUGGCCCGAUACUGACGCUGAGGCACGAAAGCGUGGGGAGCAAACAGG
rnacentral:rRNA from 1 species